rnacentral:rRNA from 1 species
GACGAACGCUGGCGGCGUGCUUAACACAUGCAAGUCGAACGAAGAGCGAUGGAAGCUUGCUUCUAUCAAUCUUAGUGGCGAACGGGUGAGUAACGCGUAAUCGACCUGCCCUUCAGAGGGGGACAACAGUUGGAAACGACUGCUAAUACCGCAUACGAUCUAACCUCGGCAUCGAGGAUAGAUGAAAGGUGGCCUCUACAUGUAAGCUAUCACUGAAGGAGGGGAUUGCGUCUGAUUAGCUAGUUGGAGGGGUAACGGCCCACCAAGGCGAUGAUCAGUAGCCGGUCUGAGAGGAUGAACGGCCACAUUGGGACUGAGACACGGCCCAGACUCCUACCGGAGGCAGCAGUGGGGAAUCUUCCGCAAUAGACGAAAGUCUGACGGAGCAACGCCGCGUGAGUGAUGACGGCCUUCGGGUUGUAAAGCUCUGUUAAUCGGGACGAAAGGCCUUCUUGCGAAUAGUGAGAAGGAUUGACGGUACCGGAAUAGAAAGCCACGGCUAACUACGUG